rnacentral:tmRNA from 1 species
GGGACUGAAAGGUUUCUACAUAUUGAAUAGAUAAAUAAUUGAUAAUACUAAAAUUUAAAUGCAAAACAUAAUAUUGUAAUUUUUUCUAAUAAAAAAAUUUUUGUUUAAUUUAUUAGAAUAUUAAAUAGUAAUUAUAUAUAUUAUUUGAUAUAUGAUUUAAUAUAUGCUCUUGAAAUAUUUUGAAUGUUUUAAGAAAAGUAUUUUUGAUUUGAUGUGUAAUAUUAUUAUUCUUUAUAUCUUUAUGAAAAUUAUUUAAUCUUAUAAAUUUUUUUUAUAGAAAAUAAAGUGUCAAUUAUUUAAUAUCAAUAUGGACGUGGGUUCAAUUCCCUCCAGUUCCA